UACGUAGGGCGCAAGCGUUGUCCGGAAUUAUUGGGCGUAAAGAGCUCGUAGGCGGUUUGUCGCGUCUGCUGUGAAAACCUAAGGCUCAACCUUGGGCUUGCAGUGGGUACGGGCAGACUAGAGUGCGGUAGGGGUGUCUGGAAUUCCUGGUGUAGCGGUGGAAUGCGCAGAUAUCAGGAGGAACACCGAUGGCGAAGGCAGGUCACUGGGCCGCAACUGACGCUGAGGAGCGAAAGCAUGGGGAGCGAACAGG
rnacentral:rRNA from 1 species